AAGGGGUAAACGUUUUAGUUGUUACAACAACAGAAACUGUGACUGGGGCCCUACAAACCCCAGGAGAGGAAGAUAAGCAUGGUCUUGGCUCACUGGAAUCACUCAUCAAAGGAGAGCUGGACCCCAGAAAUGAAGGAGACUGCUCCCAAAUGUCACAGGCCACCAACUGCCACAGACGGACUGGAGUCCUGGGGAAGCAGGAACCAGGACUUCUUACACCGCGAUGUCACAGACUGUCUGCUAUUGUCUGCUACCUUGCAACAGAGGUCCAUAACUAUUUGGAGAAGAAAACAAACAGUAUGUGAAGGAGUUUUGAUGAGUGUCCCCGCAGAAGACAGCCCAGGCCACAAGAAGAGCAAAGAGGACUUUGAUGAGAAGUUCAACUUCAAGAAGACUGACGGGCAGUGGUCCCCAUGAGCUGGAGGGCAAAGGGGUGAAACAACAGCGCAGAACCAGGAAAAGGGAAGUUUCGGAGCCAAUGAGAAUCAGAGCUCACUGCAGCGAGACGAUGGCCGUCCUUUCAUCUCCACAGCCAGGCUGACAUCCUAGGACCUGACCCCUCUCUUUA